rnacentral:lncRNA from 1 species
UCCAUAUAUAUUUAUUAAAGAUAUUAACAAAAAGCAGCUCUCACCUUCUUGUGAAUCAGAUCCAAAUCCCUUAACGUCUUCAUUGAUUCAGAUCAGGACCUGGAAGGGAAGACCUCCUUCACUGUUGCUGAGACUGCGAGCUCUUGGAAGACGGUGACUGUCUUUUUGUCUCUCUCUCUCCCCAGAACUCAGCAGAGUAACCCAUGACUUGUUUGACUGAACAGAGUGCCCAUGGGUUCAGUGCUCUGCUCUAGUCUCCACCUGCCAGUUUCCUUCUGACACUGCUAUGAGCAACCCCCAUAUUUAUGCAGAUGAGUGCUCCAUAACUCCACUUCUCUUCAAUAAGAAGAAAGAGCAACACCGCUAACAACUUAUUGUUGGUGGUGAGACUUUGGGCAAAUUAAUGAGCUCUCUGUUUAUUCAUUGAUAAAAUGUAGAGAAUGCCCCUGGCUUCCCACACUUGUGGUGAGGACUCAGUAAGGUUCUUGUGGACUGAUUGUGUCCCUCUCUAAAUUCCCCAAUUCACACACUGAAGCUCUAAUCUCCAGUGUGAUUGUUUUUGGAGUUAGGCCCUAUAUGGAGGUAAUCAAAUUAACAGAGGUCAUGAGAGUGGGGCCUUAAUCCAACAGGACUAAUAUUCUUAUAAAAUGGGGAAGAAACAGGAUACCAGAGAUCUCUAUCUCUCUCCCCCUUCUCUCUCUCUCUCUCUCUCUCUCUCUCUCUCUCUCUGUGUC